rnacentral:rRNA from 1 species
UACGAAGGGUCCAAGCGUUAUCCGGAUUUAUUGGGUUUAAAGGGUGCGUAGGCGGCUUAUUAAGUCAGUGGUGAAAGCCCGUAGCUCAACUACGGAACUGCCAUUGAUACUGAUGAGCUUGAAUAUACUUGAGGUUGGCGGAAUGUGUCAUGUAGCGGUGAAAUGCUUAGAUAUGACACAGAACACCGAUUGCGAAGGCAGCUAGCUAAAGUAUGAUUGACGCUGAUGCACGAAAGCGUGGGGAGCAAACAGG